CAGGACGAACGCUGGCGGCGUGCUCAUACAUGCAAGUCGAACGAGAAUCUGGCUUCGGUCAGAGGAAAGUGGCGGACGGGUGAGUAAUGUGUAGAGAAUCUGCCCUUUAGUGGGGGACAACAGUUGGAAAUGACUGCUAAUACCCCAUAUGCGCGUAGCUGAGAUGCUAUUCGUGAAAACUCCGGUGCUAAAGGAUGAGUCUGCAUCUGAUUAGCUAGUUGGCGGUGUAAUGGACCACCAAGGCGACGAUCAGUAGCUGGUUUGAGAGGAUGAUCAGCCACAAUGGGACUGAGACACGGCCCAUACUCCUACGGGAGGCAGCAGUAGGGAAUUUUGCGCAAUGGGGGAAACCCUGACGCAAGCAACGCCGCGUGAUUGAAUAAGCCCUUCGGGGUGUAAAGAUCUGUCAGUGGGGACGAAACUUGACGGUACCCACAGAGGAAGCAUCGGCUAACUCCGUGCCAGCCGCAGC
rnacentral:rRNA from 1 species